UGUAGCGGUGAAAUGCGUAGAUAUGUGGAGGAACACCAGUGGCGAAGGCGACUCUCUGGUCUGUAACUGACGCUGGGGCGCGACAGCGUGGGUAGCAAACAGGAUUAGAUGCCCUGGUAGUCCACGCCGUAAACGAUGAGUGCUAAGUGUUAGGGGGUUUCCGCCCCUUAGUGCUGCAGCUAACGCAUUAAGCACUCCGCCUGGGGAGUACGACCGCAAGGUUGAAACUCAAAGGAAU
rnacentral:rRNA from 1 species